rnacentral:rRNA from 1 species
CCUACGGGAGGCAGCAGUGAGGAAUAUUGGUCAAUGGGCUUACGCCUGAACCAGCCAAGUCGCGUGAGGGAAGACUGCCCUAUGGGUUGUAAACCUCUUUUGUCAGGGAGCAACGCCGGCUACGUGUAGCCGGACUGAGAGUACCUGAAGAAAAAGCAUCGGCUAACUCCGUGCCAGCAGCCGCGGUAAUACGGAGGAUGCGAGCGGUAUCCUGAGUUAUUGGGUUUAAAGGGUGCGUAGGCGGAAUGCCAAGUCAGCGGUAAAAUCGCGGGGCUCAACCUCGCGCCGCCGUUGAAACUGGCGUUCUUGAGUGGGCGAGAAGUAUGCGGAAUGCGUGGUGUAGCGGUGAAAUGCAUAGAUAUCACGCAGAACUCCGAUUGCGAAGGCAGCAUACCGGCGCCCAACUGACGCUGAAGCACGAAAGCGUGGGUAUCGAACAGGAUUAGAUACCCCAGUGUC